rnacentral:rRNA from 1 species
UGACGAACGCUGGCGGCGUGCUUAACACAUGCAAGUCGAACGGAAAGGCCCUGCUUUUGUGGGGUGCUCGAGUGGCGAACGGGUGAGUGACACGUGAGUAACCUGCCCUUGACUUUGGGAUAACUUCAGGAAACUGGGGCUAAUACCGGAUAGGAGCUCCUGCUGCAUGGUGGGGGUUGGAAAGUUUCGGCGGUUGGGGAUGGACUCGCGGCUUAUCAGCUUGUUGGUGGGGUAGUGGCUUACCAAGGCUUUGACGGGUAGCCGGCCUGAGAGGGUGACCGGCCACAUUGGGACUGAGAUACGGCCCAGACUCCUACGGGAGGCAGCAGUGGGGAAUAUUGCACAAUGGGCGGAAGCCUGAUGCAGCAACGCCGCGUGCGGGAUGACGGCCUUCGGGUUGUAAACCGCUUUCGCCUGUGACGAAGCGUGAGUGACGGUAAUGGGUAAAGAAGCGCCGGCUAACUACGUGCCAGCAGCCGCGGUGAUACGUAGGGUGCGAGCGUUGUCCGGAUUUAUUGGGCGUAAAGGGCUCGUAGGUGGUUGAUCGCGUCGGAAGUGUAAUCUUGGGGCUUAACCCUGAGCGUGCUUUCGAUACGGGUUGACUUGAGGAAGGUAGGGGAGAAUGGAAUUCCUGGUGGAGCGGUGGAAUGCGCAGAUAUCAGGAGGAACACCAGUGGCGAAGGCGGUUCUCUGGGCCUUUCCUGACGCUGAGGAGCGAAAGCGUGGGGAGCGAACAGGCUUAGAUACCCUGGUAGUCCACGCUGUAAACGGUGGGUACUAGGUGUGGGGUCCAUUCCACGGGUUCCGCGCCGUAGCUAACGCUUUAAGUACCCCGCCUGGGG